rnacentral:snRNA from 1 species
GGAUACUCCCUUCUAUUAAAGUUGGAACGAUUAAAAGAUUGGCAUGGCCCCUACAUAAGGAUGACAUGCAUAUUUGUGAAAUGUUCUAUUUUUUC